CUCCAGGUAGCCAAAUUAGCAAGGCGCUGGUCUGCAAAACCGGAAAUUGCGGGUGCAACUCCCGCCCUGGAGUCCA
rnacentral:tRNA from 1 species